CAGUUAGGAGUGCAGCUCUGGCUGGCUGUGGCCAAGGGAUCUCCAAUCGCAAGUGAAAGCAACCUGGAGAGACUCUGACAGCCCAGGUCAGCAUAAUACCUGCAGUUGCCAUUUGAUUUUUCCUACAAUG
rnacentral:snoRNA from 1 species